CUCUUGGAUUGUCCAGCAGAUUCUUUACCACUGCAUCACCUGGGAAGUGCUGGACUGCAUGAAAGAUGACCUAUGACUUAUUUAGAAACAUCUGGAUAUCUUGAGGCAUCUUCUAAGAACUCUCUCCUUAUUAAAGGACUCAAAUAUAUACAAGUGCUUGGGAAAUGCCUAAAUCCUUUUGCCCAGUGUGGGGAAACAUCUCUAUUUCAUCUGGUGUACUGCAAAGUUUGAUAGAACUGGAUCUAAACACGGUGCUUCCGUGGCUGAUUUCCACGUUUAACGCACAGAGGAAACGCAGAAAUGACAACCACCUUCACGUGUGCACCUGUGCUUUAAUAAUCCUGACUACUCUCGGCAUUGAUAGAGUAUGAGCUGCAAAGUUCCUAAGAGGACCUGACCUCACUU